rnacentral:sRNA from 1 species
UUACCUCCCCCUUGCGGGGAGGUCGAAAUUUGCCGUCGCAAAUUUCGGGUGGGGGU